rnacentral:lncRNA from 1 species
GAGAGAGAGAGAGAGAGAGAGAGAGAGAGAGAGAGAGAGAGAGAGAGAGAGAGAGAGAGAGCAUUCCUUUGGCAUUCUUGUUGCUAUUGAAAUUUGGUUGAAAUGGAGAGAAUCUGUAUUCCAAGCAAAGUAUUGUCAUAUUUUUUGUUACUCUAGUUGUCUCUCCAAAUUUGUUUUGUCUUGUCUACACCCUUAUCUGAAACAUUAACCAGUUCAUCUUCAUAGGAGCCAUGUGAAUCCAGAUCAUGUCAUGGUGCACACUACCCCAGGGCAUCUGAGAGCUUAAAAGCCCCAAAGGACUCCUAGGAACACACUCAACAAGGGACAAAGUCUGAGAACAGUUUCGUCUGCGUGGUGAACAAUGCAGGAGGUGCCCACCAAGCCCUAACACAGUGGACUGAAGACGGCCACACAGGUUAUGCUUCCUUGCUCAUGCCAUGGGGAAGGCAUGAUUGGCUAACACUCGGUAAUCUUACCAAACCCCUGUUUUCAGGUCUCAUUGAUGGAAGAGUGUCCUGCUGAUUGGUAGGGAAGUAGCACCGGAGACAGAGGUGGCAUCAGCAGCCAGGUGGACUGGGGGCAAGAAGAGAAGGAAAACAUGCUCUCAUCUCAGGAACACCCAGCACCUUACCAUGACCCUUUGUUGUGCAAGAAGAUUACAAGAGGCAACUUGGGGAACUUCCUCACUGGGGCAAAGUUCCUCUCUCUCCAGCAGACGUCAAGUGAUCAGGG